CAUGUCUUUAUGAUUUUGAUUUAAAGUCUGAUCUGCCCAGUGAUUUUUAUUUAACGGCCGCGGUAUUUUGACCGUGCAAAGGUAGCGUGAUAAUUAGUUUCUUAAUUGGAAACUGGUAUGAAUGAUUAGACGAGAGAAUUUCUGUCUCAGUUUAAUUUAAAUUGAAUUUAAUUUUUAAGUUAAAAAGCUUAAAUUUUUUUAAAGGACGAGAAGACCCUAUAGAGUUUUAUUUUAUUUUUAUUUUUAUUUUUUUGGUAAUUGAUAUAAUUAAUAUAAUUAUAAUUUUUGGUUGGGGUGAUUUAAAGAUUAAAUAAACUCUUUAAUUUAUUUAACAAUGAUUUUUGAUUGAUUGAUCCAUUUUUUUUGAUUAUAAGAUUAAAUUACCUUAGGGAUAACAGCGUAAUUUUUUUUAAAGUUCUUAUUGAAUUAAAAGAUUGCGACCUCGAUGUUGGAUUAAAAUUUAAUUUUUGGUGUAGAAGCUGAAGUAUUAAGUCUGUUCGACUUUUAAAAUUUUACAUGAUCUGAGU
rnacentral:rRNA from 1 species